UUGAUCCACUACUUUGCUGCUUCCAAAUCAGGACCACGGUGAUGCUCUUGCUGACGAUCCGCAGAUUUACAGCAAUAAAUCCUGACUAGACAAACAGGUGUGCUUGAUCUAGUUCCUGACACAUCAGUCUCCAUCUCCUAUAAAACUCUUUUCCAUCCUGUCAUGACCAGCUGUCAUCGACUCAACUGCCAAGAGCUGGAAUUUGGCUAAUGGGUUCAUUAGGAGCAGGUGUUGGCUACCUGUCGGCCCGCUGGAGAAAUCAGAAAGGUCACAAUCAUCCCAUUGACCUUUAGCCGAGAGCUCAGAUCUUCUCUGUGUACUCAGAUUAAACUCUAAGACUCCCUUAUGUAAGCUCCUGUCAGGGAAAACCUUCCUUUCACUCUUCUGAGGUUCCCCAAGGUUUCAGAUCAAUCAUCUGAUUUCACCGACCUGAAGGGACCCUGUACCAAGACUGAGCAAGAGAAAAAAUACAUUUGCAUGAUGCCUGGGAGAGUUUAUCAGUAGUACUUUUCAUCCACAGCCAAACAACAGCAGCAUGGAAAUCUGCCAUGUUGAAUGACAUUACUCAUGAUUCAGCAGGUGUCCGAAUUCUACAGCCACAAGCGAUGCUUAGCUGCAUUUGAUUUUUUGCCAAGUAAAAUAAAUUCAUUUCCAGUUUCCGGUCUCUACGCAUUUUAACCUGUACUGAUGCUUUAUUUAUUAUACACACUGUAUUUGGAGCGAGCUUUUGUUCUGAUGUUGCAAUGAAAAUGAGAAGCAUGUGAGUCCAGUUAAUGAGUCCAUUCGGUUCUUUAAUUGUCUUGCUUGUGUUGUUAAUGAGGUU